GGAAUUGUAGAAUUGUGUGAAGAAUGAAGCGUGGCGUACGGCACCUAUGACAAAAGAUUAAUCGUAAACGUUGAAAGAGAAUCCAGACAUCGUUUUGGGGUAGAAAGCAAACACAGACGUAGCUGAAAAACUAUAAUAAGGAAGUGAUGCGAACUUUUCUAUUUGGGAAAAAGAACAGAAACGGUAUUACGAGCUCGAAAACGUUUGCCCCUACAGUAGUUAAGCGAAGAAACCAUGCUGGUAGAUGAUGAGCAUACCAAGCCAAGGGAGUAGGAAUGCAUUGUGACUCAAAAUGCACGUUCAAGGCUGGAAAACAAGAAAAUGAGUUGCGUUUAAUUUAUUUGGCAGCACAAGGACUCUUUUUAAGGUCUUACCCGUUGGCUACGAUAUUAAAUAAUAAAGAAUAAAGUAUGAGCUCCAGCUAAAGCUGCAAAUCUAAUUUGUUGUGCUCAAAAUGACACAUAGGAUAGUUCAAGUGAAAAAAUCACAUACCCUCCAAACCCCACCAUGUCGGACAGCCAGAAGUUAGUUUUACAACACCACUGGAGAACAUCAAUCGAAAGAGUAGCCAACGAACUGCCCAAAAUGUUAACGCCGUAGACGGAGUACUGGAUUUUCCUCGACGGGGGUACCAGAAGGGUGCAACAAUAAUGCACAAGAAUCCAGCUUCGAGCAGAAGAAUAUCCCUGUGCAUAAAAGUUAUUUCAGAAAAAAAAAAAAAAUGUUUAAAUUUUCAAUAAUCUUGAAAAUUGAAGAGAUAUGAUUGUUCCGU